rnacentral:rRNA from 1 species
UAACGGGGAAUCAGGGCUUCGAUUCCGGAGAGGGAGCCUUAAAAACGGCUACCACAUCUAAGGAAGGCAGCAGGCACGCAAAUUACCCAAUGAUCGAAGAUCGAGGUAGUGACGAAAAAUGACGAUCCAGGACUCAUCCGAGGCCCUGGAAUCGGAAUGAGUACACUUUAAAACCGUCCCCGAGGAUCUAUUGGAGGGCAAGUCUGGUGCCAGCAGCCGCGGUAAUUCCAGCUCCAAUAGCGUAUAUUAAAGUUGUUGUGGUUAAAAAGCUCGUAGUUGGAUCUCGGCGGACUGAGGGCGGUUUGCUUGCUAGUAUUACUGCCCUAUAGUCCGUAGUUUUGCCAGAGGUUUCGGGGUGCUAUUAAUCGAGUGUCCCGGGAUGCUGGCAGGUUACUUUGAAAAAAUUAGAGUGCUCAAAGCAGGCUAUUACGCCUGAAUAUUCGUGCAUGGAAUAAUAGAAUAGGAAGUCGUUUCUAUUUUGUUGGUUUUCGGAAAUCGACUUAAUGAUUAAUAGGGACAGUCGGGGGCAUUUGUAUUCAAACGACAGAGGUGAAAUUCUUGGACCGUUUGAAGACAAACUACUGCGAAAGCAUUUGCCAAGAAUGUUUUCAUUAAUCAAGAACGAAAGUUAAAGGUUCGAAGGCGAUUAGAUACCGCCCUAGUUUUAACCAUCCCUGAUGCCAGCUAGCGAUCUGCGGACGUUUUUUUGUAGACUCCGCAGGAAGCUUCCGGGAAACCAAAGCAUUUGGGUUCCAGGGGAAGUAUGGUUGCAAAGCUGAAACUUAAAGGAAUUGACGGAAGGGCACCACCAGGAGUGGAGCCUGUGGCUUAAUUUGACUCAACACGGGAAAUCUCACCAGGCCCGGACACUGGAAGGAUUGACAGAUUGAUAGCUCUUUCUUGAUUCGGUGGGUGGUGGUGCAUGGCCGUUCUUAGUUGGUGGAGUGAUUUGUCUGGUUAAUUCCGAUAACGAACGAGACUCUGUCCUGCUAAAUAGUGUCUGCUUCUCUUUUGAGCAGACAAUUCUUCUUAGAGGGACUGGCGACUCUUAGUCGCACGAGAUUGAGCAAUAAAAGGUCUGUGAUGCCCUUAGAUGUUCUGGGCCGCACACGCGCUACACUGAAUAGAUCAGCGUGUUCUCCCUUUCCGAGAGGAACGGGUAAACCGCUGAACCCUAUUCGUGGUAGGGAUCGGGGCUUGCAAUUAUUCCCCGUGAACCAGGAAUUCCCAGUAGGCGCAAGUCAUAAGCUUGCGUCGAUUACGUCCCUGCCCUUUGUACACACCGCCCGUCGCUACUACCGAUUGAACGUUUUAGUGAGGUCCUCGGACUGU